GCAAAAAAUAACAGUCGAACAGGAAACAAAUAAUGGUUGAUCAACAUAAAAUGUAGCUUGAAAAUACAUAAAACUGCAACCUCAGAGGAUAUAAGAUGUGACAGUCUUUUAUCUUGCGCAAGACCGCGCAACCAUGGGCCAUAAUCAGCGCAUCGUCGUGUAGACAGAUCAUAUACUAGCAAAGAUUUGUCGGUACGACGAGGCGGUGUUAUAUGGAACUGUUGCGCGGUCUUGAGCAAAAUCAUACAAACCCUCAAUUAUCUUCUUCCCCAUGCUUUGUCUAGCUCUCAUACAAGCUAACAAAGGGACCACAAGCCCAU
rnacentral:misc_RNA from 1 species